rnacentral:rRNA from 1 species
UUAAAAAGCUCGUAGUUGGAUUUCUGUGGGGACGAGCGCCGGCCGCUACUAGUGGUUCGAGCUAGCGCUUUCCCUACAUCCUGCCGCGAACCGUGCUACCAUUAGUUUGGUGGCGCCGGGGAUCGGCUCGUUUACUUUGAGAAAAUAGAGUGUUCAAAGCAGGCCACACGCCUUGAAUAAGUUAGCAUGGAAUAAUAACUAAGGACUUCGGUUCUAUUUUGUUGGUGUUCGGGACUGAAGUAAUGAUUGAUAGGGACAGUUGGGGCGGUCCGUAUUCCAAAGCGAGAGAUGAAAUUCUUAGACCUUCGGAAGACGAACAGCUGCGAAAGCGUUCCGCAAGGAUGUUCCCUUUGAUCAAGAACGAAAGUUGGGGGAUCGAAGACAAUCAGAUACCGUCGUAGUCUCAACUAUAAACUAUACCAGCUAGGGAUCGGCCAACGUUACUUUAACCGACUUGGUCGGCACCUUAUGAGAAAUCAAAGCAUCUGGGUUCCGGGGGGAGUAUGGUCGCAAGGCUGAAACU